AUUGAACGCUGGCGGCAGGCCUAACACAUGCAAGUCGAGCGGAUGAAGGGAGCUUGCUCCUGGAUUCAGCGGCGGACGGGUGAGUAAUGCCUAGGAAUCUGCCUGGUAGUGGGGGAUAACGUCCGGAAACGGGCGCUAAUACCGCAUACGUCCUGAGGGAGAAAGUGGGGGAUCUUCGGACCUCACGCUAUCAGAUGAGCCUAGAUCGGAUUAGCUAGUUGGUGGGGCAAAGGCCUACCAAGGCGACGAUCCGUAACUGGUCUGAGGAUGAUCAGUCACACUGGAACUGAGACACGGUCCAGACUCCUACGGGAGGCAGCAGUGGGGAAUAUUGGACAAUGGGCGAAAGCCUGAUCCUGCCAUGCCGCGUGUGUGAAGAAGGUCUUCGGAUUGUAAAGCACUUUAAGUUGGGAGGAAGGGCAGUAAGUUAAUACCUUGCUGUUUUGACGUCACCAACAGAAUAAGCACCGGCUAACUUCGUG
rnacentral:rRNA from 1 species